AUCAAAUGGAGGGCAUACAUUUUCGUGGCUUGUCUCAUGGAGCUUUCUAGAGAGGUAAGCGCAUUGCUAUAAGAAAAAACCCCUGGCUUGGUGCCUCUAUGAACAGGAAGUCAGGAACUCGCCUACAAUCCUGGUUCUGGCUCUUGUGGAACAAUUCCAGGCGAGUUUUUGGUGUUCUCUUCUCUUGGAUGAUCAAUACCUGACAUUGAUGGUUUGGUAGUGGAUGCCAGGUCUCCAGUGUAGAAGGUCCCUUCAUCCAUAGGCUGGAUGGAUUGUCAAAAAAUGUCCCAGGUACUCACUCGUGAGUGGAAAUUCGAAGGCGACAUGGCCCUUGUCGUUAAUUUCUUAAAAGAAGUAAGCUUCGCGGCCCUGGAUGAUCUUACUGCCAUGAUUUUC
rnacentral:lncRNA from 1 species